rnacentral:rRNA from 1 species
AUGAUGGAUCUUCUGUCCACCAGUGCCACAUCAAUUCCUAGAAAUAAAUUUAAAUCUUUUGAAGGUAGUGAUAUGUGUGAGUUGGUGAAGAAGUAUUGCCCAGCAGAUUUUAGUCAACAAGACGUGUAUGGCUUGGAAAACCAACGAAAACUCUUUGUUCCUGAUGCUUCCAGUGAUGUAGAGUUGAAAAAUAUAUCAACAUUGACUGACCUUUGCCAACUCCUUGUUGAGACUGGAAGAGAUAGAAUCUACCAUCUAAUUGACAGGCUACUCCGUCUACUUGUUACUCUUCCAGUUUCUACAGCUAGUGCUGAACGAGCAUUUCCAGUUUGA